rnacentral:rRNA from 1 species
CGUCUAUUUACGUGGCGGCUGUGCGUUAAUUCGUUGGCGUGCGAGCGUUUUCCUGCGUUUGUGGGCGGUAAGAGGCUAUAGGUGGUGUGGUAAGUCGGAUUUUAGAGCUCAAGGAUCUAUCUGGAGGGUGCUUUCUGUUCUGUCAUGACAAGAGUUCAGUAGGGGAGUGUGGAAUUCCAGGUGGAGCUGUGAAAGGCGCACAUAUCAGGAGGAGAAACCGUAGCGAAGGCGGCACUCUGGGCCGAUACUGACGCUGAGGAGCGAAAGCGUGUCGAGCAAACAUGAUUAGAUACCCGUAGUC